UGUCUGUGUAAAGGGCCAGGCCUUGUUUCUGCUCACCAGAGCACUAGCAGGGAGGCAUGUGGACACAUGGCUGGAACACCAGGCUGCAGUCCUGAGGGCCUGGUCCUCAUCUAGACCUCCUCUCACCUCUCAGCUGCUCCUUCCUGGGCCAACCACCAAUGGAUGCAGGCUCUCCAAGAGCAUUGAGAUUCCAGGCACUGCUGGAAACUGACCUUGACUGAACACCACGUCCCAGGUGCCAGGAUUUGAUUUCAGGUCUGCGUGCUCCAAAGUUCCAAAAUGCUUCAUUCUGCACUGUCCUACCUUUUCUAUACAUAGUUCCCACAUGGUGACCCCAGAAUCACCCUCGCACCAGGACAGGUAAGUAAGGAGCUCUCUGGUGGCCGUGGAGGGGGGGGUCCUGCUUCUAUCUCAAGGAAGGAAGGGGAGACUGGGGCACUGGUUUGGGGAGAGAGAGAAAGCAGAAGGAACAUGUACUUUACACAGUACACUGGAGUAAAACGAAUACUAAAUUAACUAAAUAAAUAUAAUAUCUACAAAGAAUUCAAAAGCAGCAACAAAGAAAACUGCAAAAGCCCCCAAACAUGAAAUCUGGAGCUAUACGUGCUUGUUUCCCAAGUAUCUGAAACCCAGAAAACCUUGCCGUCUCCUUAUCCAGAUGCUUUAGUUCAAAUGAGCGGUAAGAGCAUGAGAUGUAAUUGUGCUCCUGGCCUCAAAGUCAGUCUCCUCUGUCUGUGGUACAUGCUGCCCACUUAGACAGAAGGACCUACUGGGCGGAAAGAAGAUGUCAAGGUGUGAACAGGGGACAGACUCUCAAAGCUCCUGAGUGUCAAAAACACGGGGCAGGCCAGGGACUUCCAAAGGAAAGGCUGACCAGAUGGGAAAUGACCUGACAGUAAGGCCAGAUCUGACUGACAGAAGGACUCAGUGGCCCCUCAGUGACCCAGGCUGCUCACCCCCAGGACUGGCCAGGGGUUCUCAGUCUCCCUCUUGGCCAGAGGCCAGCAGCUUUGCAGGCCUUGGGUGUCACAGGGCAAGAAGCAUUCCUUGCGUGGGUGGAAGGCCCAUGCCUCUCACUUUCAGAGCUCUGGCAGACAUUAAUUAAUUGCAUUUCUCACAACUUGUCGGGACGGCAGAGAUGUGCUCGUAGGAAGAUGUGUCAAAAGGUCAGAGUGCUGAUGGGGCUGGGAAGCCAGCAGGACACACAGUCCGUGGUCAGGAACAAGGAGGGUGAGAGAAGAGACAGGGGCACGGCCAGUCCAAGGGAAGGUGACAGGAUGCACUCCUCCGCGCCUCACCCUCCACCCUCCAUCAGAACAAACAUCAGGGAGUGUGAUGGUCAGGCCCUGGAUCUAGUCCUGACUCUAUCACUUAAAGGACACACAGCCUUGGAUGAGCCCCCUGUUUCUGUGGACCCCACAUCCUCAUCCUGUGAUUCCAGCUCCCAUAAAGCAGCUGCUCUGGUCCAGGGUCCCAAACACACUGUAGAGAAGCGGAUGACAUUGGCCUGCGAACCUGACCUGUAGCCCAAGGGCAUCAUUCAUCAGCACCUGGGCCUAAUAAACCUGUGAUGGUUAAUGCUGCGUGCCAGCUUGACUGGCAUGGGCAGCCCAGACACGUGGUCAAACGUUCCCCUGGGCAUGUCUGUGAGUGUAUUAGGGCUGAGCCCAUCACUGGAGUUGUCGACAGAUUAAAGCAGGCUGCCCUCCCUAACAUGGGCAGGUCUCAGCCAGCCCAGCCAAUGGAAGGGAGCUCCCCCCACCUGACUACAAGCUGGACGUGCUCUUGUCCUGCUUCAGGCUCAGAUGAAAUCUUUGCUUUCCUGGCUCCUCGGCUGCAAUGGCAGAGUUGAGAGCCCUCAGCCUCCAUAACUGUGGGAGCCAGUUCCUGAUAAUACGUAUGUGGAACCCGGUCUAACAUUGCCUCUCAGGGCACCUCGGGUGGAUGCAUAGCAAAGAAGAUGGCAGAGGCUCUCUGGAGAACAUUCCUGCCACACCCUAUGCCAUUAACGACGAUCUCAUAUGGUCAGACGUGGACAUGUAUGACACCAACACAGUAGAGCACACGCUGGUCAACCCUUAUUAAAGCUGCAUGUGACGAGCCCAACCUAGGCUGGGGGCUUGGGAAGCCACCAACAUGACAAAACAGUAAAAAGAAGGCCCUGGGAGGAAAGACCAGGGCCAAGUGAGUUUAACAGAGUUAAAGCGUAAGAAGGAUCAUGGCAUGGGGCCAGCUUCCACCAGCAGAGCAUAGCUGGGAAAGCUGAUCAAAAUGAGGAUGAGGGGUAACUUACUCCCACAGGAGGACCUGAUGAUAAGGUCAGCCUGCUGACUGGAUUGGGAGAGAAAAGUCAUAUAAACAUGACUCCUGGCCUCAGCACCAGGAGUUAGGCACCUACCUUUCCAAGGCUCCCUCCAGGCCCAAACAUCACUCUCUUUCCUCCUGCCCCCUUCGCUCAGUUUUAUAUUCCAUUUCUUUCACUUACAAAAACAUCACAAACAUUUUUCUAAACCAUCAACUACUUCUCUACACCAUAAUUUUUAAGCAGGUGAAUAUCACUCUAUCACACAGGUGUAUCACAAUUUAUUUAACAAAGUCCCUGCUUGAGGACAUUUAGAGUCCUUCCAAUUUUUCACUAUUUUAAAGAACACUAUGAUGAAUAGCCUUAUACUUGCAUUAAAGUCGACACCUUCCCAAUUGUUCCCCUGGAUGCUUAGAUGUGGAGCUGCCAAGUCAAGAGUCGUAAACCUGCCCAAGGAUCGGAACCCUAGAGCUGACCCCUUAUGCCAUCAGGAGCAGUGAAGGAGAGGGCUCGUUUUUCUAUGCUCUCACCAACACUGCGUAUGUUCCUUUUGUUUUACCUUUGCACAAGUUAGUUCUGAGCAGGAGAACAGCCAAGAAGACAGUCUAUGAAAAAAGCGGCAUUUGAGUUGACCUCUGAGGGGCUGGGGAGGGCCUGUCGAGGCAAGAUAUAGCACAGCACUUGGGCGCUGCUGCUCUCUGGAGAGGGGAAGAGACCAGAUGUGCAGACGUGUGGGGUCCAGGGGAAAAUGAAGGAGGGUAGGCCCACAGGCAGGCUACAGCAGGGUCUCAGAAAGCCUUGAGUGGCAUCCUAAGGGGUUUAGCUUUUAUUUGCACAGCCCUUGGAAGCCGUGAGCAGUGUCUGAGCAGGGGCGAUGUGUUUCUGCGUGCCACCUUGAGGGUGCCAAGAAGCUGCCAAGAAGGUUGUGAAGUGGCAGGACUGGGUUUCGAGGUUUUGACAGUAACCAGGAGACGUGUCUGUUUUCGCCACUCUGGUGUGACGUUGGGCUUGGAGCGCUUCACUGGUGUUCCGAUACGCUUCCUACGAAGAGGAAAAAACCCCACCCAAGCAAAUCAGAAAGGACUGAGAACAAGUGUCUGCAAACCCAGCAGAAUAGCACAUGGGGCCUGCAAGCAGCCCUGCCUCAUUGAUCUUCGUCCUUAUUUCUCUCAUCAAUAUUUUAUGUCACUAGGAAACUCCAGCUUCAUUUUCUGGUAAUGAAUUUAUCAUGAGACCAAGAGCAAGUUGCUGAGGCAGACACCCGGGGAAGCUAGGCAGAGGGCAGUUCCAGCCUCGGCUGCUGGCUCGGCCGCCCUGCAGGGCAGAGGUGCCACCAGGCCAGCCAGGGGAGUGCCGCCUGGGGAGCCGGGUUUCCAUCCGUGUGGAUCGCUGAUUCUCCAAAUAAACCCUCUUCAGAAAAUGCCUUUUCUCCCUGGGAAGCCGAGCAGUGUCAAGAAGGACACCACUGAUUAAUCACCCACUGGGCGCAGAGCCCUGUAAUAGAAGGAGGGAAAUAAACGAAUUCAAAUAGCAGCUCUUCUGGCAGGAUCUAUAAACUCUGUCCAUGUGCCAGCAUCAGCGGAGUGGUUUGGAGCAUAGUAGGCACUCAGAAAUGCCUUCUACGAUGGGUGAGUGAUGGCUGACAGGUACCCCUUAACAUCCUGGUGCCCACUUUCAGCUCUAACUCUGACUUUCUACAUAGCUGAGGGAAGUCACUUAACACAGCUGAGUUUCAGAAGCCUUGUUUCACAAAGUGGGGCAAAAAUAAUAACAGCAGCAGACACUUAAAUAGCACUCACUAUGUGCUUCCAAAGCUAUAUGUAUUAUUCAAAUGAUUUUCACGACAAUCCCAGGGUAGGUGUUGUCACUUGCCAUCCCUUGCCCAAGGUCAGAGCUGGGUUUAGAUUCAGUCUGUGGCCUCAGUCACUUCACCACGUCAUCUCAUAUCAAUCCUGUAUCAGUGAGGGAGUGCUCACUGUGGUGCAAGUGACAAAAAAAUUAUUGUUGUUAAACCCUACACAAGCUGGCUCAAGCAAUAGUGAAGUUUAGGAGUUCCCUUCAUGGCUCAGCUGUUAACAAACCCAACUAGGAUCCAUGAGGAUGCAGGUUCGAUCCCUGGCCUCGCUCACUGGGUUAAGGAUCUGGUGUUGCCAUGAGCUGUGGUUUAGGUCUCAGACAUGGCUCGGAUCCCGAGUUGCUGUGGCUGUGGUGUAGGCCGGCGGCUACAGGUUUGAUUAGACCCUAGCCUGGGAACUUCCAUGUGCCAUGAGUGUGGCCCUAAAAAAAAAUGAACUUUAAUAGCGCAUAGAAAAUUCAAAGUAUGUUAUUGUUUCAAGAACAGUUUGAUAUAAGGCCUCAAGGUACAUCACAGGCUCAGUUUCUGUCUGUCAGCUGCAUUUCCUGUGGGGCUUUGGUCUCUGACAGACUCCUGCACAAAGUCAGGGCCACUGCCAUCACUGUGCAUCUCAGGCAGGCAUAGCCUUAAACCGGUGAGAAGAGCAAAUCUCUUCUCCACAACUCCCAGCAAAGGCUUCAUUGUGUCUUACUGGUUCGGAUUGGGUCACAUGACCCAAGGGCCACGAGAAGGCAGUGUGCUAAUUAAUGGAGACCCGGGUCAAGUCCUCCACCUGCCAGGGAUGGAGCCUAUGGCAGCACCUGGGCUGGUCUGAGAAAGAGGGGAGCAGGACACAGAUGCCAAAGAGCAGGAGACAGGUGUCAGGAGAUGCCCACUCUCUACUCUUCUUCCAGCUACACCCAGGAAAAGACUGAAUGCUAAUGGAAAGACAUCCUUGUAGGGACUGGGUCGAAAGGAAGAUGAAGCAUCUCUCAGCUCAACUCUG
rnacentral:lncRNA from 1 species